AUCCAGCUGACGAGUCCCGAAUUGGACGAAACGCGCGUCCUGGAU
rfam:Schistosoma rodhaini strain Burundi genome assembly, scaffold: SROB_scaffold0004699